GGUCUCGUAGCUCAGUUGGAUAGAGCACCAGAUUCCUAAUCUGGGGGUCACAGGUUCAAUUCCUGUCGAGAUCACCA
rnacentral:tRNA from 1 species